UACGUAGGGGGCAAGCGUUGUCCGGAAUCAUUGGGCGUAAAGCGCGUGUAGGCGGCCCGAUAAGUCCGCUGUGAAAGUCCAGGGCUCAACCCUGGAAUGCCGGUGGAUACUGUCGGGCUAGAGUGCGGAAGAGGCGAGUGGAAUUCCUGGUGUAGCGGUGAAAUGCGCAGAUAUCAGGAGGAACACCAAUUGCGAAGGCAGCUCGCUGGGACGUGACUGACGCUGAGACGCGAAAGCGUGGGGAGCAAACAGG
rnacentral:rRNA from 1 species